rnacentral:rRNA from 1 species
CCUACGGGAGGCAGCAGUGAGGAAUAUUUGUCAAUGGACGAGAGUCUGAACCAGCCAAGUAGCGUGAAGGAUGACUGCCCUAUGGGUUGUAAACUUCUUUUAUAAAGGAAUAAAACGAGGCACGUGUGCCUUUUUGCAUGGACUUUAUGAAUAAGGAUCGGCUAACUCCGUGCCAGCAGCCGCGGUAAUACGGAGGAUCCGAGCGUUAUCCGGAUUUAUUGGGUUUAAAGGACUCGUAGAUGGGUUGUUAAGACAGUUGUGAAAGUUUGGGGCUCAACCGUAAAAUUGUAAUUGAUACUGGUAGGCUUGAGUACAGUAGAGGUAGGAGGAAUUCGUGGUGUAGCGGUGAAAUGCUUAGAUAUCACGAAGAACCCCGAUUGCGAAGGCAGCUUACUAAACUGUGACUGACAUUGAUGCCCGAAAGUGUGGGUAUCAAACAGGAUUAGAUACCCCGGUAGUC